rnacentral:rRNA from 1 species
AGAGUUUGAUCAUGGCUCAGGACGAACGCUGGCGGUGUGCUUCACACAUGCAAGUCGAACGAGGUAGCAAUACCUAGUGGCGGACGGGUGAGUAACGCGUGGGAAUCUGCCUAAAGAUGGGGGAUAGCUAUCCGAAAGGGUAAUUAAUACCGCAUAUGUAUACAUCCCGACAGGGAUAUAUAUGAAAGGAGUAAUCCGUCUUUAGAUGAGCCCGCGUCCGAUUAGCUAGUUGGUAGGGUAAAAGCCUACCAAGGCGACGAUCGGUAGGUGGUCUGAGAGGAUGAUCACCCACAAUGGAACUGAGACACGGUCCAUACUCCUACGGGAGGCAGCAGUGGGGAAUUUUACGCAAUGGGCGAAAGCCUGACGUAGCGACACCGCGUGAGCGAAGAAGCCCUUUGGGGUGUAAAGCUCUGUCAGCUGGGACGAAAAAAAUGACGGUACCAGCAGAGGAAGCAUCGGCUAACUACGUGCCAGCAGCCGCGGUAAGACGUAGGAUGCGAGCGUUGUCCGGAUUUAUUGGGCGUAAAGGGUUCGUAGGCGGUUUGUUAAGUCUGGUGUUAAAGAUCGGGGCUCAACCCUGGGACUGCACUGGAUACUGGCAGACUGGAGUGCGGUAGAGGUUAGUGGAAUUCCUGGUGUAGCGGUGAAAUGCGUAGAUAUCAGGAAGAACACCAGUGGCGUAGGCGACUAACUGGGCCGUAACUGACGCUGAUGAACGAAAGCCAGGGGAGCAAAUGGGAUUAGAUACCCCCGUAGUCC